CACACCGCCCGUCACACCACGAAAGCCUAUUGUACCUUAAGUCGCUGCGUCAACCCGCAAGGGAGACAGGCGCCCACGGUAUGAUCGGUGAGUUGGGGUG
rnacentral:rRNA from 1 species